rnacentral:lncRNA from 1 species
UUGCCAACAACUAUGUGAGGGGGGCAGUGGACCUUCCCCUGGGUGAGCCUCCAGAUGAGAACCAAGCUCCAGACAACACCUGCAUUGCAGCCUGUCAUACCCUAAGCAGAGGACCCAGCUAAACUGCGCCCAAACUUCUGACCUACAAACACUCUAAAUUUUCUUGUUUCUAGUCACUAAGUUUAUGGUAAUUUGUUAUUUAUACAAUAUGAUUUCAUAAUCAAAAAUCCUUUAAUGGAUAAGAUAGUGAAAUGGAGACUGGAAAUGAUAUAGAAAGUACUAUGGAAAUAGGAGAAACUUGCAGUAAUUACUCAAGAGGAAGAGUAAUCAUUUAAAACUUUAACAAA